ensembl:snRNA U6 U6 spliceosomal RNA
GUGCUCGCUGUGGCAGUACAUAUACUACAAUUGAAACAAUACAGAGAAGAUCAGCAUGAUCCCUGCACAAGGAUGACAGAAAUGCUGAGCGUUCAUAUUUUG